GUGGAUAGGGGAGAAAUUCCAAUCGAACCCGGAGAUAGCUGGUUCUCCUCGAAAUAGCUUUAGGGCUAGCCUUGGUAGAGAUUUGCGGAGGUAGAGCACUGAAUUUCCUAGGGGGCGUCAAAGCCUACCGAAGAAUAUCAAACUCCGAAUGCCAUGUAGAUAAGACCGGGAGUCAGACUGCACGAGAUAAGUUGGGCAGUCAAAAGGGAAAGAGCCCAGACCUUCAGUUAAGGUCCCAAAGUCUACGUUAAGUGGAAAAGGAUGUGGGAUUUCGAAGACAACCAGGAUGUUGGCUCAGAAGCAGCCAUUCAUUCAAAGAGUGCGUAAUAGCUCACUGGUCGAGAGGUCCUGCGCCGAAAAUGUCCGGGGCUGAAACGUACCACCGAAACUAAGGAAUCCGAAAGGAUUGGUAGAGGAGCAUUGCAUGCGGGAAGAAGCAGUACCGUAAGGAGCUGUGGACUGCAUGGAAGAGAGAAUGCCGGAAUGAGUAGCGAGAUAGAGGUGAGAAUCCUCUAGGCCGAAUAUCCAAGGUUUCCAGGGUAAAGCUGAUCUGCCCUGGGUAAGUCGGGGCCUAAGGUGAGGACGAGAGUCGUAGCCGAUGGACAACAGGUGGAGAUUCCUGUACUAUGAUAUGACAGAACUGUGGGGACACGUGCAGAGAGCGGAAGCCGGGAAUGGGAUCCCGGUGCAAGCGAGGUACCAGAUGCGUUGGAAAAACCGCGCAUCAAUGGGAAGACGUGAUGCGGAAUGAAGUUUAGUAAUGAAGUCCGUGAGCUGUGCGUCAAGAAAAGCCGCUAUUGUUCAUACCAUACCCGUACCGUAAACCGACACAGGUGGAUGAGGAGAGAAUCCUAAGGCCGGCGGAAGAAGCAUUGUCAAGGAACUCGGCAAAAUGACCCCGUAACUUCGGGAGAAGGGGUGCCACUGAGAAGUGGCCGCAGAGAAUAGGCUCAAGCAACUGUUUAGCAAAAACACAGGUCUAUGCGAAACCGUAAGGUGAGGUAUAUGGGCUGACGCCUGCCCGGUGCUGGAAGGUUAAGAGGAGAGGUUAGCGCAAGCGAAGCUUUGAAUUUAAGCCCCAGUAAACGGCGGCCGUAACUAUAACGGUCCUAAGGUAGCGAAAUUCCUUGUCGGGUAAGUUCCGACCCGCACGAAAGGCGUAAUGAUUUGAGCGCUGUCUCGACAAUGCAUCCGGUGAAAUUGAAGUACCAGUGAAGAUGCUGGUUACCUGCGCCAGGACGGAAAGACCCCAUGGAGCUUUACUCCAGUUUGGUACUGGGACUCGGUAUUGCAUGUACAGGAUAGGUGGGAGGCUAGGAGAUGGUAACGCCAGUUGCCAUGGAGCCGCUGUUGGGAUACCACCCUUGCAGUAUUGGGUUUCUAACCAGCCGCCGUGACCCGGCGGUGGGACAAUGCCAGACGGGGAGUUUGACUGGGGCGGUCGCCUCCGAAAGGGUAUCGGAGGCGCCCAAAGGUUCCCUCAGAAUGGACGGAAACCAUUCGAAGAGUGCAAAGGCAGAAGGGAGCUUGACUGCGACACCGACGGGUGGAGCAGGUACGAAAGUAGGGCUUAGUGAUCCGGUGGUAUUAAGUGGGAAUGCCAUCGCUCAACGGAUAAAAGCUACCCUGGGGAUAACAGGCUUAUCACUCCCAAGAGUUCACAUCGACGGAGUGGUUUGGCACCUCGAUGUCGGCUC
rnacentral:rRNA from 1 species